rnacentral:rRNA from 1 species
UACGAAGGGGACUAGCGUUGUUCGGAUUUACUGGGCGUAAAGCGCGCGUAGGCGGAUCGCUAAGUCAGGGGUGAAAUCCCAGGGCUCAACCCUGGAACUGCCUUUGAUACUGACGAUCUGGAGAUCGGGAGAAGUUGGUGGAAUUCCGAGUGUAGAGGUGAAAUUCGUAGAUAUUCGGAGGAACACCAGAAGCGAAGGCGGCCAACUGGCCCGAUACUGACGCUGAGGCGCGAAAGCGUGGGGAGCAAACAGG